CCUACGGGGUGCAGCAGUGAGGAAUAUUGGUCAAUGGACGAGAGUCUGAACCAGCCAAGUAGCGUGAAGGAUGACUGCCCUAUGGGUUGUAAACUUCUUUUAUAUGGGAAUAAAAUGUUCCACGUGUGGGAUUUUGUAUGUACCAUAUGAAUAAGGAUCGGCUAACUCCGUGCCAGCAGCCGCGGUAAUACGGAGGAUCCGAGCGUUAUCCGGAUUUAUUGGGUUUAAAGGGAGCGUAGGUGGAUUGUUAAGUCAGUUGUGAAAGUUUGCGACUCAACCGUAAAAUUGCAGUUGAAACUGGCAGUCUUGAGUACAGUAGAGGUGGGCGGAAUUCGUGGUGUAGCGGUGAAAUGCUUAGAUAUCACGAAGAACUCCGAUUGCGAAGGCAGUUCACUGGACUGCAACUGACACUGAGGCUCGAAAGUGUGGGUAUCAAACAGGAUUAGAUACCCCAGUAGUC
rnacentral:rRNA from 1 species